rnacentral:rRNA from 1 species
UACGUAGGGGGCAAGCGUUGUCCGGAAUCAUUGGGCGUAAAGCGCGCGUAGGCGGCCCGGUAAGUCCGCUCUGAAAGUCCAGGGCUCAACCCUGGAAAGCGGGUGGAUACUGCCGGGCUAGAAUCCGGAAGAGGCGAGUGGAAUUCCUGGUGUAGCGGUGGAAUGCGUAGAUAUCAAGAGGAACACCUGAGGCGAAGGCGGGUUGCUAGGCUGACACUGACGCUGAGGCGCGAAAGCCAGGGGAGCAAACGGG